CCGACCUUAGCUCAGUUGGUAGAGCGGAGGACUGUAGUUGGAGUCGUUCUUGGCUGAUAUCCUUAGGUCGCUGGUUCGAAUCCGGCAGGUCGGA
rnacentral:tRNA from 1 species